GUUUAGCCCUGCUGCCUGGACACUCGUGAUGCGGCCCCAGUUCUCACUGCCACUGGGUGCCCGGUUUCUAGAAAAACCAAUCAGCGUCUUUGCGGAUCCCGGUUAUAAAGUCUCCACCGACCCGGCCAGGCUGCUUCUUCCUAGACCCAGAGGAUGCGAGUUAUGGGGCCGCGAACCUUUCUCCUGCUCCUUUCGGGGACUCUGGUCCUGACCGAGACCCGGGCUGGCUCCCACUCCAUGAGGUAUUUCUACACCGCCGUGUCCCGGCCCGGCCUCGGGGAGCCCCGCUUCAUCGCCGUCGGCUACGUGGACGACACGCAGUUCGUGCGGUUCGACAGCGACGCCCCGAAUCCGAGGAAAGAACCGAGGGCGCCAUGGAUAGAGAAGGAGGGGCCCGAGUAUUGGGAUGGGGAGACUCAGAAACAAAAGGGCCACGCACAGAUUUUCCGAGUGAACCUGAACAACCUGCGCGGCUACUACAACCAGAGCAAGGCCGGAGAUGUACGGCUGCGACGUGGGGCCGGACGGGCGCCUCCUCCGCGGGUUCUCGCAGUACGCCUACGACGGCAGAGAUUACCUCGCCCUGAACGAGGACCUGCGCUCCUGGACCGCGGCGGACACGGCGGCUCAGAUCUCCAAGCGCAAGUUUGAGCAAGGCGGUGAGGCGGAUCACGACAGAAACUACCUGGAGGGCCGCUGCGUGGAGUGGCUCCACAGAUACCUGGGGCACGGGAAGGACACGCUGCUGCGCGCAGACCCUCCAAAGGCACAUGUGACCCAUCACCCCAUCUCUGACCGUGAGGUCACCCUGAGGUGCUGGGCCCUGGGCUUCUACCCUGAGGAGAUCUCACUGACCUGGCAGCGCAGUGGGGAGGACCAGACCCAGGACAUGGAGCUUGUGGAGACCAGGCCUUCAGGAGACGGAACCUUCCAGAAGUGGGCGGCCCUGGUGGUGCCUUCUGGAGCGGAGCAGAGAUACACGUGCCGUGUGCAGCACGAGGGGCUUCCGGAGCCCCUCACCCUAAGAUGGGGUAAGGAGGGAGAUGGGAUGGAGCUUCCUCUCAGAUAAAGCAGGAGCCCUUCAGGACUCAGUUCAGCAAGGUCAGGACUCAAACCUGAGGUCAGGGACCCUUCCCUUUCCUCCACAGAUCCUCCUCAGACCUCCUUCCUCACCGUGGGCAUCAUUGUUGGCCUGGUUCUCCUCGUGGUGGCUAUGGUGGCUGGAGUUGUGAUCUGGAGGAAGAAGCAUUCAGGUGAAAAAGGACGGAUCUACACCCAGGCUGCAAGCAAUGACAGUGCCCAGAGCUCUGAUGUGUCUCUCACGAUUCCUAAAGUGUGAGACAGCUGCCUUUGGGGACUGAGUGAUGCUCAGUCCCACUUUGUGACGUCAGAUCCCAGGACCCCUCUAUCUGCAGCUGCAUCUGAAUGUGUCUGUGUUCCUAUUAGCAUGUGAGGAGGUGGGGAGACUGGCCAACCCUGCCAACCACGGCCUCUCCCCACCCUGACCUGUGUUCUCCUCCCUCAUCCACUGUCCUGCCCCAGCAGAGACGGGGCUGGGCCAUUCAAUCCGUGUCUGCUUCAUAUGCACUGAGUAAUGAUGUCAUAUUUCCUUACUGAAAAUAAAAUCUGUAUAUAUGAA